ensembl:snRNA U6 U6 spliceosomal RNA
GUGCUCCUUUUGGCAGCGUAUAUAAUAAAAUUGAAAUGAUACAGAGAUUAGCAUGUUCCCUAUGCAGGGAUGACACGUAAAUUCAUAAAGCAUCUCAUAUUUAA